rnacentral:lncRNA from 1 species
CUGUCAGUGGAAUGAGAGGCUCAUGUCCACCGCAGGGUGACAGCCGGCUCUGAGGGCUGUGGGCCUGUCCUUAGAGAGGCUUCUCAUUUCCUCUUUCGCUGCUCUGCCCCCACCCCAGUCUCCUCCAUCAGGUGGAGCAGGUGUCUCAUUCCGUGGCUGGACCCAGGGGGGUCAGGGCCCUCGGACAUGACGUCCUGCAAAGUAGAGAUGUUUCAUGGAUCUGCGUUGUUUUUAAUUAAGAAUCAUUUUCAGAACAUGCCUCUGUGUGCACACACGAAAAGAUCUAGGAAGGCCUUCUCACCAGGCCUGACGUCUCGGGGUGGGGUUGGGCAGGACGUAAUGGACAGAGAGCUGUGUUUUACCUUGGAUCAGUCUCUCAUUGAUUUUCCUUCUUUUGAUUUUUUGGUAACCAUGGAUUACUUUUGUCGAUACGUACGUGCACAGUGAUGAUGUCAUCGGUAACACCCUCUGGAAGGAGACUCGGUCAGGAAUGGUUCUGUGGGGAACUGGCAUGGGGGGCGGGUGUCAGAGGCUGAGGCUGGGAGCAUUCCCUGUGUACCCUUCUCCUUGGCCUGAAGCAGCUGGCAGCCCCUGCUCGGGCUGGAGCCGUGGGGCUGGGGACCGUGAAGGUACUUGUGCUCCGGGAAGGGGGCUGGGUGCCCCUGUAACUGUGCACAUCCACACAGAAGGCCCGCCUUUUGCACGGAUAGCAGGUUUUCUUUCAGUGUCAUUCGGAAUUUGUUCCUUUCCAAGAUCUUUAUUUGUUUGUUUUUAAAAACUAGACUUUGUUUUUUUGGAGCAAUUUUAAGUCCCAAAAAGAUUGAGUGGAGGGUACAGAGAUUUCCCAUCUGCUCCCUGCCCCUGCCCCCGAGCAGCGCCUCCCUCACUGUGGACGCCCCCUGCCAGGGGGGUGCCCUUGUUACAGUCAUUGGGGUUGACUGUCGGUGUUGUACAUGCUGUGCAUUUGGACAGGUGUCCCCCCCGUGGUGCUGCAGCGAGUGGACUCACGGCCCUAAGAUUCCUCUGUGCUCCCCUCUGCACCCCUCCCUCACCGCUCACCUCUGGCCCCCACUGAUUUUUUUCACUGUCUGCACAGGCUCGCCUUUUCCAGAAUGUCGUAUGGCUGGAAUCACAGCUACAGUUAGGAGCCUUUGCGCAUUGGCUUCUUUUACUUAGAGAUACGGAUGUAGAUUUCCUCCCUGUCUUUUCACGGCUUCCCAACUUACUUCGUUUUAGCACCAGAUAGUACCCCGAGGUCUGGAUGGACCACAGGGUAUGUAUCCAUUCACCUGCUGAAGGGUAUUUUGGUUGCUUCCAAGUUUCGACAGUUAAGUAUGCGACUGCCGUAAACCCAUUUCUGCUGGGUUUUGUGUAGACGUAGGUUUUCACCUCAUUUGUGUCAACACUCAAGGGCACAGUGGCUGGAUGCUACGCCGAGAAUAUGUUCAACUCUGUCUUCGGAAGUACCUCACUGUCUCUGGAAAUGGCUGAGCCAUGUUGCCUUCCUUCCAGCCGUGAGUGAGGGUCCCGUGGCUGCACCACCUUGGCAGCAUUUGGUGUUGCCGGUGUUGCGGAUUGUAGUCCUUCUCAUAGCAUUUUAGUGGUCUCUUCUUGAUUUACCAAGAUUUGUUUUUAAUUGUAACUUUGAAAUAAGCACGUUUGGGAUGUCCUGUUGUGGUGUAGCAGAAAUGAACCCGCGUGGUAACUUCGAGGGUGCGGGUUUGAUCCCUGGCUUGAUCCCUGGCCUCGCCUAGCGGGUUGGGGAUCUGGCGUUGCCAUGAGCUGGGGUUGCCGCGGCUCAGAUCUGUCAUUGCUGUUUUUGGCUGUGGCACAGGCUGGCAGCUGCAGCUCUGAUUCAGCCCCUAGCCUGAGAACUUCUGUAUGCCGCUGGUGCAGCCCUAAAAAGCAUAAUAAUAAUAAUAAUAAACACAUUUAUAUGAAAAUCCGAGGUAAAUGGAAAAAACUUAUUUACCUCCAAGUUAAGCAUGUCUCUGAGGAGUCUGGCAGUUUGGUAGUAACUGAAGCUAGAAUAUUCCACUGGUAACAUUUUACCGUAACUACUGGCCAUCAGGAGAGACCAGAGACUAAGGCCAUGGACUCUCAGUUCAUGUGCUUUAUGUUCGCGAGGCCAAGUGAUUUUAAACUAUGGGUCUGUUGAGGGUUAUACAAUGACAGUAACUGUUGAAGUGCUGAAUGGGCACUAGGAUGAUGGGUUUCUGAGUGGAAACAGUGGGUUUCUCAUGCUGUCCACAACACCUCAUCGCACGUGUACUGCGCUUGCUCGACUGAAUCUAAGCGUCAUGAUUAGACACUCCCUGUGGUGUGGGCACUGACACUGCAUCAUAGGGACAGUUGCUGGGUCCAGAGACGUUGCUCUUGACUGUUUGCCAUGGGACGCAUGACUUUUAUC